CGUCUGGCUAUAAUUCACGUUUCCCUCGGUCCAGAUCCUGUCUCUCUAGUGGUUACUUUGCCUUUUCGCUCCGAUUACGCGAGCCAACAGAGCGCAGGAAACGCCACCAACCGCCAACACAUUUGUGACCUGGAAACGUCAGAUGACAGGACUGAGGACUCCCUGACCCCAAUGUGUCAGUGCGGUUGUAAACCGUAGACCCCUCCCCCCCCCAUUGGAUGUCGCAGUGAGAUAAGGAAAGGCCUCGGAUUGGGCCCCGCUGUGCAGUUGUGGGGGCUGUAUUUCCUCUGCGAGGCCCGGCCGGGUCGGGGCAUUGCGGCGUGAACGAGCGUUCUCAGAGAAGACGGAGGAGGAGAGAAGAAAAAGUGGAGGCCGUCUCUUGGGUGCCCUUUUUUGCCAUCCCAUUUCCUAUGCAUCUGGUCUGUGUUUG